ACCUGUAAGGUGUGUGUCAGGUACACAGGUGAAGAGCGUCUUCUGAUUGUCUUGUGUCUUGGGAUGAAGGUUCUCUUUCUUGAGUCUGAGUGAGACCCAGAGAUGCAGAAGCUUUAUACUUUAGAGAGGAAUCUGUGUUAUGUGGUCAGGUGUAUUUGGAGAUGAAAACUAGGCGGUAGGUGUGUUGCAGUGUGACGUCAUUGUGCCUACGUAAUAUAUGGGGGUGUGAUUCAUAGAAGAUAUUCUUAGAAUGAUAACAUCUUGUUAUAGUAACACUAUGCAACAAUUUGACACUUUUUGAGGUAUGGUUUUAUAGGAAACUAGUUUUGGUACCAUCCUCAAAUUCAUUUUGAUAGCAUAUGGUCAUGUGAAGGACAGAUAAACACCUGUGUCUUCCCCUCUAACCAUCCAGGAUAUGCAAUAUGCAGUUCUGUUUUUCCUGGCUGGAACACCUUGCAAAAACAAAAUAAAAGCUUUCACAGCACUAUAUUGUACUCUUAAAAUAGGAUUAUACUUUUUUCAGUUAAUACAAUUUCAUAAUUAAGGUGAAAAUACAUGAAAAUGUCAUUAGUCAUUUAUAAGUCAUUUCAGUCACACUUUAUAUUGUCUGAAUGAGACCCAGAGAUGCAGAAGUAAGUGUGCACACCAACACCCCUUUGCAGAUUUACGUACAGCAGGAGACACAUCCAUUCCUGUGUUGUAAGAUCAAUGCUGUGCAGCGGAUUUAAACUAGACUGACUGCUUUAUGACAGUUGUCCCAGGUCCUUUUGAAAUGGCCCUAAGCAUUAGGUGUGUCGCACUGUGGCGUCAUUGUUGCAUCCGUCAUAGGCAAGACAAUUGAAUGCAACGGUGUCUGUGUGAGUGUGAUUCAUAGUCCAUUUUUGCACUAAUACCUGAUCAAAGUAAGAUAACGGGGUAUUUGUUUACAUGGAAAGGAAUGUAAAUUCAGGGUUAAGGAACACAAAAUUAAGCCAACAAUGAAUGUAAGAACAUAGCUACAAUAACUACUCAAGCAACAGUAUGUACUUCAAGGUAUCUAGUUAGGAUAGUUUUGGAUCACAUUUGGUGAAAAAGGGAGGGUAUGAUAUAAUAGUUACCUAAAAGACAGAUGUAACUGCUUUUGGAGUAUGGAAAAACAUUACUUAGCACGACAACAAGGUUUUUCCAUUGUGCAUGACAAAGGUAGCCAAAGAUAGUAACUUUGUUGUGCAGAAUUAGUAAAAAGACACUCGUAGUACACAGAGCCAGUGAUGAGUCCUCCCCUGCAAGUCUCUGUAUUUACUGUAGAUUCAUAAAUCUCUGUAUAUACUGUACUUUAGAUUCACAAGUCUCUGUAUUUACUGUAGAUUCAUAAGUCUCUGUAUUUAC
ensembl:lncRNA